ACUUGAUGCUGUAAUGGAUAGUUUACCAGAGGAAAAGCCACGCCUUGUCUGUGGGCUUGGACUACCAGAGGAGGUGUUGCAGGGAGUUGCGGCUGGCAUUGAUCUUUUUGACUCAUCGUAUAUUUAUAAUCUUACACUUGGAGGCUUUGCACUUACCUUUCCUCUGGAUAGGAUUGAAACAAAUGCAUCUGGUUUUAAGUCCACUGAUAUGGGAAUUGACCAAACAAAGAUUAAUCUGAAAGCAACAGUUUACAGGAAAGACACAUCACCAAUUGUUGCAAGCUGUACCUGCUAUACUUGCCAGAAUCAUACUAAAGCUUACAUCAAUCACCUACUCAAUGUCCACGAG
rnacentral:misc_RNA from 1 species